GAUGACGCUGGCGGCGUGCCUAAUACAUGCAAGUCGAGCGAGCGGCGGACGGGUGAGUAAUGUCUGGGAUACUGCCUGAUGGAGGGGGAUAACUACUGGAAACGUUAGCUAAUACCGCAUACAAUCAGACUUGCCCACAUGGGAUUAGCUAGUAGGUGGGGUAAUGGCUAACCUAGGCGACGAUCCCUAGCUGGUCUGAGAGGAUGACCAGCCACACUGGAACUGAGACACGGUCCAGACGCCUACGGGAGGCAGCAGUGGGGAAGAUUGCACAAUGGGCGCAAGCCGGAUGCAGCCAGGCGGCGUGUGUGAAGAAGGCCUUCGGGUUGUAAAGCACUGUCAGCGAGGAGGCGUUACUCGCAGAAGAAGCACCGGCUAACUCCGUGCCAGCAGCCGCGGUAAUUC
rnacentral:rRNA from 1 species